CUAACUCUUAAUCCCCUGUUGAGCAUCCAUUAAAAUGAAUAAAGGUCGAUUGCACUAUAAAGCCCCAAAAAUAGGUAGCAAAUAUACAAUAAUGUUCCAAAAUUAUUACAAGUAUCAAGUCACUAAGACCUAUCUUAUGAGAAUCAACACGGUAGACACGAUUCCACGAAGAAAUCAUUGACCAAAUUACACAACUAUUACAUCACAGUUUCUGCCAUCAAAGAAUCACCCAUCUUUUAAGAGAAAGCACAAAAAUAAAUGGUAUUCCACCAAGGAACCAACCGAGAUCACCAAGAUCUAAAAAAACCGAACUGCCCUUCUCUAAAAUCACUUUUGCAUAAGACACAUAACACAGAAUAAAUCAUGCUCCACGAAGGAUUGUAUGCAUCUAUAGUAUUACUUGAGUUUUCUAGUAAUAUUUUCAACAAAAAACCUUCAAGAACCCAAACCCUAAUCACUAGAAGAAGAGUGAUUUUCUUUCGUAACAGAGAAGUGAGAGAAGAGAGAGAGACUUUUUCUUUUCCUUGAAAGUGAGACGUGAGAGAGAGAGAGAAUUAAUUGCUGGAAGAAAAGUCUUACCUCAAUUAAUGUGUAUCUUUCAAAUAUCACAUGGUUAGGUAGAAGAAUAUCCAAUGGUCAAGAAAAAAAAAACACAUUUCUUUCCUUUUUAAAUUUUGGAACACUUUUUUUUUUUCAACAAUCUCCACCUUGCUUCCAAAAUUUGAACCUAUAGUGCAUCCAGGAGCUUCGCCAUCAUUUAUAACUUCAGC
rnacentral:lncRNA from 1 species